UACGUAGGGUGCGAGCGUUAAUCGGAAUUACUGGGCGUAAAGCGUGCGCAGGCGGUUUGCUAAGACCGAUGUGAAAUCCCCGGGCUUAACCUGGGAACUGCAUUGGUGACUGGCAGGCUAGAGUAUGGCAGAGGGGGGUAGAAUUCCACGUGUAGCAGUGAAAUGCGUAGAGAUGGUGGAGGAAUACCGAUGGCGAAGGCAGCCCCCUGGGCCAAUACUGACGCUCAUGCACGAAAGCGUGGGGAGCAACAGG
rnacentral:rRNA from 1 species